UACGUAGGGAGCAAGCGUUGUCCGGAAUUACUGGGUGUAAAGGGAGCGUAGGCGGGAUGGCAAGUUGGGUGUUAAAUCUACCGGCUCAACUGGUAGUCGCACUCAAAACUGCUAUUCUUGAGUGAAGUAGAGGCAGGCGGAAUUCCUAGUGUAGCGGUGAAAUGCGUAGAUAUCACGCAGAACUCCGAUUGCGAAGGCAGCUUACUAAGCCAUAACUGACACUGAAGCACGAAAGCGUGGGGAUCAAACAGG
rnacentral:rRNA from 1 species